rnacentral:SRP_RNA from 1 species
GCCGGGCAAGGUCAUGCCUGUAGUCCCAGUUACUUGGGAGGCUGAGGCUGGAGGAUCGCUUGAGCCCGGGAGUUCUGGGCUGUAGUGCUAUGCUGAUCGGGUGUCCGCACUAAGUUUGUAAACAAUAUGGUCACCUCCCGGGAGCGGGGAACCACCUGGUUGCCUAAGGAGGGGUGAACCAGCCCAGGUCGGAAGUGCAGCAGGUCAAAACUCCCAUGCUGAUCAGUAGUGGCAUCGCGCCUGUGAAUAGCCACUGCACUCCAGCCUGGGCAACAUUGAGACUCCCUCUCUUU